rnacentral:rRNA from 1 species
GAUGAACGCUAGCGGCAGGCUUAACACAUGCAAGUCGAGGGGCAGCAUGAAGGUUAGCAAUAACCUUUGAUGGCGACCGGCGCAAGGGUGCGUAACGCGUGAGCAACUUGCCCGUUUCAGGGGGAUAACCGUUGGAAACGACGACUAAUACCCCAUGGUGAUGUUAGGAGGCGUCUCCUUUCAUCUAAAGAACUUCGGAAACGGAUAGGCUCGCGUGACAUUAGCUAGAUGGCGGGGUAACGGCCCACCAUGGCGACGAUGUCUAGGGGUUCUGAGAGGAAGGUCCCCCACACUGGAACUGAGACACGGUCCAGACUCCUACGGGAGGCAGCAGUGAGGAAUAUUGGUCAAUGGUCGGAAGACUGAACCAGCCAUGCCGCGUGAAGGUCACGGCCCUAUGGGUCUUAAACUUCUUUUGUAAGGGAGCAAUAAGGUUCACGUGUGGACUGAUGAGAGUACCUUACGAAUAAGCAUCGGCUAAACUCCGUG